GAGUACGGCGAUACCAACCGUAGAACGCCCAAUCUCGUAUGAUUUUGGAAGCUAAGGAGGGUUGGGCCUGGUUAGUAUUUGGAUGGGAGACUGCCUGGGAGUACCAGGUGCCGUAAGCU
ensembl:rRNA 5S_rRNA 5S ribosomal RNA